rnacentral:rRNA from 1 species
GAUGAACGCUGGCGGCGUGCCUAAUACAUGCAAGUCGAGCGAACAGACGAGGAGCUUGCUCCUCUGACGUUAGCGGCGGACGGGUGAGUAACACGUGGAUAACCUACCUAUAAGUCUGGGAUAACUUCGGGAAACCGGCGCUAAUCCCGGAUAAUAUAUUGAACCGCAUGGUUCAAUAGUGAAAGACGGUUUUGCUGUCACUUAUCGCUGCAUCUCGGCCGCAUUAGCUAGUUGGUAAGGUAACGGCUUACCACGGCAACGAUGCGUAGCCGACCUGGGAGGGUGAUAGGCCACCCUGGAACUGAGACACGGUCCAGAGUCCUACGGGAGGCAGCAGUAGGGAAUCUUCCGCAAUGGGCGGAAGCCUGACGGAGCAACGCCGCGUGAGUGAUGAAGGUCUUCGGAUCGUAAAACUCUGUUAUGAGGGAAGAACAAAUGUGUAAGUAAAUAUGCACGGCUUGACGGUACCUAAUCAGAAAGCCACGGCUAACUACGUG